CCUUCCAUGGCUCCUGGCAG
rnacentral:miRNA from 1 species